GGGAGAUACUGUCUUAGCAGGUGCAGUUGAAAUAGUUGAUGGGGAUGCAGACAACCAUUAAGCAUCUCCCCCUGACAAUAACAACUACCCCGAUUUUCCAAUGUCUGAAUGACAACAGUGUCACCAGAUGUGGCCCAAAAUGCACCUGGACGAUCUGAACCUAUUUGCCACCCGUGCAACAAUCUCUUCUGAGCUGCAAGUUUUUUAUGCUGCACACAAAGUAACCAGAAGCGAGGAAGCCUAGGUUAGAACAUCUCCAAAGGACCUGAGGACAGGAGAAAAAGUAACAGGAGGACCAUCAUUAAAGAAAAAUCCACCCUACAACUAAGAAACAAUGAAGAUCUCUGGAAGUUUAGGAGCUCCAUCAUUGGAAGUUUUCAAAAAGACAAUGGAUGGCCAUUUGAUUGGAAUGGUAUAUAUGGUGUCCUGCCUGAGCAGGGGGUUGGACUAGAAGACCUCCAAGGUCCCUUCCAAUCCUAUUAUUCCAUGUUCUAUGUUCUAACAUUAUGAGCAUUUACAGGGCUUUGUAAGGCU